CUACGGGAGGCAGCAGUAGGGAAUUUUGGACAAUGGGGGCAACCCUGAUCCAGCCAUGCCGCGUGAGUGAAGAAGGCCUUCGGGUUGUAAAGCUCUUUCGGACGGAAAGAAAUCGCGCAGGUGAAUAAUCUGCGUGGAUGACGGUACCGUAAGAAGAAGCACCGGCUAACUACGUGCCAGCAGCCGCGGUAAUACGUAGGGUGCGAGCGUUAAUCGGAAUUACUGGGCGUAAAGCGUGCGCAGGCGGCUUUGUAAGACAGGUGUGAAAUCCCCGGGCUUAACCUGGGAACUGCGCUUGUGACUGCAAGGCUCGAGUGCGGCAGAGGGGGGUGGAAUUCCACGCGUAGCAGUGAAAUGCGUAGAGAUGUGGAGGAACACCGAUGGCGAAGGCAGCCCCCUGGGUCGACACUGACGCUCAUGCACGAAAGCGUGGGGAGCGAACCGGAUUAGAAACCCGAGUAGUCC
rnacentral:rRNA from 1 species